GGAAUCUAAUGUUAAACCUCCGUCACUAAUGGAGCUUCAUGUCGCCUUUCUCUGGCCCUGGGAGUGUGGACAACGGAGGAAUAG